rnacentral:tRNA from 1 species
GGGGAGAUGCCAGAGUGGUUGAAUGGGGCCGCCUGCUAAGCGGUUGUGGGGUCAUAAAGCUCCACCCAGGGUUCGAAUCCCUGUCUCCCCGCCU